rnacentral:rRNA from 1 species
UACGUAGGGUGCGAGCGUUAAUCGGAAUUACUGGGCGUAAAGCGUGCGCAGGCGGUUUUGUAAGCCAGAUGUGAAAUCCCCGGGCUUAACCUGGGAUUGGCAUUUGGGACUGCAAGGCUCGAGUGCGGCAGAGGAGACUGGAAUUCCUGGUGUAGCAGUGAAAUGCGUAGAUAUCAGGAGGAACACCGAUGGCGAAGGCAGGUCUCUGGGCUGACACUGACGCUCAUGCACGAAAGCGUGGGGAGCGAACGGG